rnacentral:rRNA from 1 species
GAUGAACGCUGGCGGCGUGCUUAACACAUGCAAGUCGAACGGAAAGGCCCGGCUUUUGUUUGGUUGUUGAUUGGCGAACGGGUGAGUAACACGUGAGUAACCUGCCCUUGACUGUGGGAUAACUUCAGGAAACUGCGGCUAAUACCGGGUAUGAUCUCCUGCUGCAUGGUGGUGGUUGGAAAGUUUCGGCGGUGGUGGAUGGACUCGCUGCUUAUCCGCUUGUUUGUGGAGUAGUGGCUUACCAAGGCUUUGACGGGUAGCCUGCCUGAGAGGGUGACAGGCCACAUUGGGACUGACGUGAGGCACAGACUCCUACUGGAGGCAGCAGGGGGGAAUCUUGAACAAUGGGCGGCAGGCUGAUGAAGAAACGCCGCGUGUGGGAUAACGGCCUUAGGAUUGUAAACCGCUUGCGCAUGUGACGAAGCGCAAGUGACGGGAAUGGGUAAAGAAGCCCACGCUAACCACGUG